rnacentral:sRNA from 1 species
UUGGAAAGGGAGGGGGGAGUGUAGAUCUUUGCUCACCUUCAAGUAAUUAUUUUACAGUCAUACAAUGAAUGAAAUGUUAAAAUGUGUGACAAAAUAUAAAACAAAUAUAAGUUGUUACAAAUGUAUUUUAGUUUGACAUUGAAGAUUGUUGGUGAAAAAGAAUCUAUUUGUGUCCCCUCUGUUGUUCAUAUCUGCAGGAAAUACAUGACAACUGGAUAGACAACAUUGACUGGGUCAAAGUUAAACACACAAAACCUGAAGAUGAAAAUAAGAAACGUCCAUUUGAGUACAGUGACAGCUCAGAUGAUGAGGAUGAAGAGAAAAAGACAUUAACAAAUAUUGAGACAUAUGAGGCAAUAUUGGGAAUUCUCAAAGAAGGGGAAACUGCAGCUAAAGCUAUCAGAAGAUUGGCUAAGAACAAAGCAAAAAUUCCAUCAGCCAGUCAAAAGUGGAAGAACAAAAAGUCCAAGACAUCC